GACGAACGCUGGCGGCGUGCUUAACAUAUGCAAGUCGAACGGAAAGUCCCUGCUUUUGUGGGGUGCUCGAGUGGCGACCGGGUGAGUAACACGUGAGUAACCUGCCCUUGCCUUUGGGAUAACUUCAUGAAACUGGGGCUAAUACCGGCUAGGAGCUCCUGCUGCAUGGUGGGGGUUGGAAAGUUUCGGCGGUUGGGGAUGGACUCGCGGCUUAUCAGCUUGUUGGGGGGGUAGUGUCUUACCAAGGCUUUGACGGGUAGCCGGCCUGAGAGGGGGACCGGCCACAUUGGGACUGAGAUACGGCACAGACUCCUACGGGAGGCAGCAGUGGGGAAUAGUGCACAAGGGGCGGAAGCAUGAUGCAGCAACGCCGCGUGCGGGAUGACGGCCUUCGGGUUGUAAACCGCUUUCGCCUGUGACGAAGCGUGAGUGACGGUAAUGGGUAAAGAAGCACCGGCUAACUACGUG
rnacentral:rRNA from 1 species